rnacentral:misc_RNA from 1 species
AAAGUCGUAACAAGGUUUCCGUAGGUGAACCUGCGGAAGGAUCAUUACUGAAGUGAUUUGGGGAUGUUGCUGGCCCCUUCUCAGGGGCAAUGUGCACUCCUUGAACAAUUCACAAUCUCCAUCUCACCCUUGUGCACAUUUUGUAGGCAGCACCCUCUCUUGGUUGGGAUGUGGUGUCCUAUGUAUUCUAUCACCUCACACUUUGCUCUUGAACGCACCUUAUGGAUUAUUUGUAAAAGUAAUCACAGAAACAACUUUCAACAAUGGAUCUCUUGGCUCUC